rnacentral:rRNA from 1 species
CUGGCGGCAGGCCUAACACAUGCAAGUCGAGCGGUAGAGAGAAGCUUGCUUCUCUUGAGAGCGGCGGACGGGUGAGUAAUACCUAGGAAUCUGCCUGAUAGUGGGGGAUAACGUUCGGAAACGGACGCUAAUACCGCAUACGUCCUACGGGAGAAAGCAGGGGACCUUCGGGCCUUGCGCUAUCAGAUGAGCCUAGGUCGGAUUAGCUAGUUGGUGAGGUAAUGGCUCACCAAGGCUACGAUCCGUAACUGGUCUGAGAGGAUGAUCAGUCACACUGGAACUGAGACACGGUCCAGACUCCUACGGGAGGCAGCAGUGGGGAAUAUUGGACAAUGGGCGAAAGCCUGAUCCAGCCAUGCCGCGUGUGUGAAGAAGGUCUUCGGAUUGUAAAGCACUUUAAGUUGGGAGGAAGGGCAGUUACCUAAUACGUGAUUGUCUUGACGUUACCGACAGAAUAAGCACCGGCUAACUCUGUGCCAGCAGCCGCGGUAAUACAGAGGGUGCAAGCGUUAAUCGGAAUUACUGGGCGUAAAGCGCGCGUAGGUGGUUUGUUAAGUUGAAUGUGAAAUCCCCGGGCUCAACCUGGGAACUGCAUCCAAAACUGGCAAGCUAGAGUAUGGUAGAGGGUAGUGGAAUUUCCUGUGUAGCGGUGAAAUGCGUAGAUAUAGGAAGGAACACCAGUGGCGAAGGCGACUACCUGGACUGAUACUGACACUGAGGUGCGAAAG